UACGUAGGGGGCAAGCGUUGUCCGGAUUUAUUGGGCGUAAAGCGCUCGCAGGUGGUUCGUCGCGUCGUGCGUGAAAGACCCCGGCUCAACUGGGGGAGGUCGUGCGAUACGGGCGGACUGGAGGCCAGUAGGGGGAUGCGGAAUUCCGGGUGUAGCAGUGAAAUGCGUAGAUAUGCGGAGGAACACCGAUGGCGAAGGCAGCUUACUAAGGCGAUACUGACGCUGAGGCACGAAAGCGUGGGGAUCGAACAGG
rnacentral:rRNA from 1 species